UACGUAGGGGGCAAGCGUUGUCCGGAUUUAUUGGGCGUAAAGAGCGUGUAGGCGGCCUUACAGGUCAGCUGUGAAAACUCGAGGCUCAACCUCGAGACGUCGGUUGAAACCGUAAGGCUAGAGUCCGGAAGAGGAGAGUGGAAUUCCUGGUGUAGCGGUGAAAUGCGCAGAUAUCAGGAAGAACACCUAUGGCGAAGGCAGCUCUCUGGGACGGUACUGACGCUGAGACGCGAAAGCGUGGGGAGCGAACAGG
rnacentral:rRNA from 1 species